UACGUAGGGUGCAAGCGUUAAUCGGAAUUACUGGGCGUAAAGCGCGCGCAGGCGGUCUUCCAAGUCAGUGGUGAAAGCCCGGAGCUCAACUCCGGAAUUGCCAUUGAAACUGUGAGACUGGAGUACGAGAGAGGUGAGUGGAAUUCCCAGUGUAGAGGUGAAAUUCGUAGAUAUUGGGAAGAACACCGGUGGCGAAGGCGACUUACUGGACUGUAACUGACGCUGAGGCAUGAAAGCGUGGGGAGCAAACAGG
rnacentral:rRNA from 1 species